GGCCGGUUAGCUCAGUUGGUUAGAGCAUGGUGCUAUUUACGCUGAGGUCACAGGUUCAAACCCCGUCCUGGCCA